GUCGGAUAUUCCUUCCAUUGCUGGGACAUCCCUUCCAGUGCUGGGACAUCCCUUCCAGUGCUGGAUGUCCCUUCCAGUGCUGGGAAUUCCAGUGCUUGAAUGUCUCUUCCAGUGCUGGGAUGUCCCUUCCAGUGCUGGAUAUCCCUUCCAGUGCUGGGAAUUCCAGUGCUGGAAUGUCUCUUCCAGUGCUGGGGUAUCCCUUCCAGUGCUGGGAUGUCUCUUCCAGUGCUGGGACAUGCCUUCCAGUGCUGGAUAUUCCUUCCAGUGCUGGGAAUUCCACACGCUGUUCUGGGAUGCCGGAGCCACCUGAGAGAUGAAUCAGCACCAGCAAGGGGGGUUCUUGUGUGCACCCCCAAAAAUUCCCCGUGAGAGGCAGGUGUGAGGGAGGGCAGGAGCUGGGUCUGCAGGAGUGAGGAGCUCAGAGCCAUGGGGAUGUGGUGGGGCCAUGCUGCCAGGGCUGGAUCCCAUCAGCUGCCAGCAGCUCCAGGUGGACUCUGGGCAGAGCCCAGCUGGAGGUGUGGAAGCCCAAGGCUGACCCUGCUGACCCCCUGUAACUCCUGGGUGCUGCCAGGGCUGGAUCCCAUCAGCUGCCAGCAGCUCCAGGUGGACUCUGGGCAGAGCCCAGCUGGAGGUGUGGAAGCCCAAGGCUGACCCUGCUGACCCCCUGUGACUCCUGGGUUCUUGGAUCCUGCUGCUGGUGCUGGCACAUCCCCAGCAUUCCUGGCGUUCUUGGAUCCUGCUGCUGGUGCUGGCACAUUCCCAGCAUUCCUGGCAUGACACUGCUGGUAAUGACACGGAUUCUGAUGUGUCUCCCAGCCCAUUUGUCUUCAUUUGGUGCCAGGGCUGGGCACAAUGCCCUGGAGCCACAGCCUGGCCCAGCAGCAGGAUGGGGGACUGGCAUGGCCAGCACAACCGUAAGUGGGUGUUGAUGUCUGUUCCCAUUCCCAGUGAGAAUCCCUGGUCGCUUUGCAGGCAGGGAGUGCCAGCCUGAGACCCUGCAGGGCUGGGGCACCUGCCUUGUUCGUGGCACAACCUCUCUGUGCCACUGUGCCUGCUCAGCCCAAGGUGUCCCAAGGGAGGGCAUGGAUUUGGGGACACAGCAAGGCAAGGACCAGAUGGGCUGGCCCAGAGGUCCUGCAGCUCCCCAUCACCCUCCCUCAGUGGGGGAUGGCACUGCCACCACCGUGUUCCACCGGAUUCCGGGAUGGAGCCUCUCCUCUGGAGCUGGGUAACUUCUGAUUGAGGAUUACUGUACCAUCGGCUUCGGUUUGAUUGCAGAUGUUUUUAAUUAUAUCGUAUAAGAUCGUAUUAUGUAAUUGCAUUUAUCUGAUUGAAGCCUUAAUUGUAGGAUUUCAUAAUGGUUUGACUGGGUAAAUACACCGUCGCGUCUGUUGUCCCC
rnacentral:lncRNA from 1 species